rnacentral:lncRNA from 1 species
ACCGGUCCCCCAGUGAGCAGUGUUGUGGCAGCCCUGAGGCAACCGGUCCCUGGCGGGCGAGACCGGUCCCCGAGCGCGUCCUCGCAGUGAGAGACCGGUCCCGCGCGGGGAGAGACCGGUUCCCGAACGUUGGUUUCUCGGGUUCGCAGCGAGAGACCGGUCCCUUGCAGGGAGAGACCGGUCCCUCUGGGCGAAAACUGCCUAGACCGGGCUGUUGCAAUAUUUGAGUUUUUGAGGGGCCUCUCUGGAUUUUGUUGCUCUAAAUGGUCUUUAUAGCCAUUUCACUCUCUUCCCUCCUCAUUUCUCACCCUCUCCCUACACCUUCUAGAGAGAGAAGAAGAAGAAGGAGGAGAAGAAGAAGAGGAGGUUGCUUGAGGGAGCUUGGAGCUCAACCCCUUUCUCUCCUUUCCACCCUUGCAAGGCUUGGAGCUUGCUUGUAGGGCUUGGUGGUUGACCAAUC